UACCCAUUUAUUACGUGCGAAGCAAAAUAGAAUAAUGCUCUUAGCACGAAAACGUGCAAAACGAACUUAGCUUAUGUCAUAUCGCACGUACAUCAAACGUCUAUUAAGUACAGAACCUUAUUAUAGGAUAUUAUAAGUUACAAAACGUUACAGAACGACGCGCAUUUUUACUCGAUCAGGAAAAAACCAAAGCCCAGGGAUGAUAAAAUACGUUUUAUAUUUAUUUCUUUCGAUGCUAUGUAAAGAAAAGAAUCAAAUACAUGUUGUGCAUCUAAAUGUAAUGUCUUCAACAAUUGGAUCAGCCUCACUUGUUUCCCAUCCUGGGUAUACAUCUAUGAAUAUAUCUUUACCAUUGACAUUGAAGCACAUUUGCUCAGCUUUGUCAUCUAUUUCUGAAAGAUGUAGUUGGAACGCUAUGCUCUCAUCUGCAAAUACAUAAAUAUACUAAUUU